rnacentral:rRNA from 1 species
AAACUGCUUUUGUACGGGAAGAAACACCGGUUCGUGAACCGGCUUGACGGUACCGUAAGAAUAAGGAUCGGCUAACUCCGUGCCAGCAGCCGCGGUAAUACGGAGGAUCCAAGCGUUAUCCGGAAUCAUUGGGUUUAAAGGGUCCGUAGGCGGCCCUGUAAGUCAGUGGUGAAAUCUUUCGGCUCAACCGGAAAAUUGCCAUUGAUACUGCAGGGCUUGAAUUAUCGGGAAGUGACUAGAAUAUGUAGUGUAGCGGUGAAAUGCUUAGAGAUUACAUGGAAUACCGAUUGCGAAGGCAGGUCACUACCGGUGGAUUGACGCUGAUGGACGAAAGCGUGGGGAGCGAACAGGAUUAGAUACCCUGGUAGUCCACGCCGUAAACGAUGGAUACUAGCUGUUCGGUUGCAAGACUGAGUGGCUAAGCGAAAGUGAUAAGUAUCCCACCUGGGGAGUACGGGCGCAAGCCUGAAACUCAAAGGAAUUGACGG